rnacentral:pre_miRNA from 1 species
CUUGGCACUGGUAGAAUUCACUGAUAUGAAUGAAAGCUCAGUGGUUCUCUAGGGCCAAAUA